rnacentral:rRNA from 1 species
GACGAACGCUGGCGGCGUGCUUAACACAUGCCAGUCGAACGGAAAGGCCCUGCUUUUGUGGGGUGCUCGAGUGGCGAACGGGUGAGUAACACGUGAGUAACCUGCCCUUGACUUUGGGAUAACUUCAGGAAACUGGGGCUAAUACCGGAUAGGAGCUCCUGCUGCAUGGUGGGGGUUGGAAAGUUUCGGCGGUUGGGGAUGGACUCGCGGCUUAUCAGCUUGUUGGUGGGGUAGUGGCUUACCAAGGCUUUGACGGGUAGCCGGCCUGAGAGGGUGACCGGCCACAUUGGGACUGAGAUACGGCCCAGACUCCUACGGGAGGCAGCAGUGGGGAAUAUUGCACAAUGGGCGGAAGCCUGAUGCAGCAACGCCGCGUGCGGGAUGACGGCCUUCGGGUUGUAAACCGCUUUCGCCUGUGACGAAGCGUGAGUGACGGUACUGGGUAAAGAAGCACCGGCUAACUACGUG